rnacentral:lncRNA from 10 species
ACUUUCUAGCCGGACAAACAGCAGUCCAGGGCCAGGCACACAGCAGUCCAGGACCGGGCACAGCACUCACCCACGUCUUGCUCGAAGGGGUUGGCGGUGAACAAAGGCAUCUCGCCGGCGCCCGAGCCCUAGUCGCUGCUGUCUAGCUGACACUCAGCAACUGCUACCCGCCGGGUGACCCGCGGCCGCGGCUCCCUAGACCGCUCCGCUUCGGCCUCCGUCCCUGCACUUCCGCCACCGCACCUGCCCGGCUCUUGCCUGACAGGCCGGCUCGGAGUCCACCCUUCGAUCCCGCGCUCCUGUCCCAACUUUUCUCCCGGGGCGAGAUCCCUCCGACCAUGGGCGUCCUCCCAAGGCCUUUGUCGCUGCCCCUGUCCCAGACUUUUGUAGGGGUCAGGCGGCCGCUACGGCCACCUUUCCAGCGCUAGGACCCCGGCUAGCCACGAAGCCGGGGACCUUCGGAGCCGGAAGUAGUCCCGCCUGGAACUGGACGACCCCGGAAGCUGCAGUGCCAGCGGCGGCGCGGCAGGGGGCGCGGUUACCCGUGGUUUUUCGCGUUGGACGACGGGCUCUGAGGGCCAAGUUCUUGUCACGAAUUUAGUUUGUUUCAGAGCGGCAGGACUCGUAGCUAGAGAACGAGGACCCACGACGCGUACGCGUUACAGUCCUGUUUCCCUAGAAACGGAGCUGCCGGCGCGGAGGUGGCUUUGAGAUUCUGCGAAAGACCUGACUGCUCUUCAACAAUUAUUGUGUUGCACCCUCCCAGGCGCCCAGUCCAAACCCCGUCAGAAUAACCACCCGGGACAGCGGUGGUCGAAGUAACUACGCCUAACUUUUCGCUUUCCAUCGUGUCCCCUCCAUAAAAACACUGCUGGGCCCCCGGAAUCCAAAGGCGAAGGAGGCACACUCCCUGCCUUAGACUUGUUGAGAGUUUUAUAGGGGCAGUGCAUAACGUACAUGAUGGUGUAUGACGAUUCGGAUGGUAGUACGAGUCAUAAACUCAAAUUCCAACAGCAUCCAGCCAGGUAUUUAAAUGAAUGCAAAAGCCCAAGCACCCUUCCCACCCACAUAUUCUCUGUUCCUCUUAGAAAACUGUAGUAAUGAUUAUGUUGCCUGUCUCUCCUCCUCAUUAGAUUAUAAACUCCCUGAUAAGUUUUGGUCACUACUAUAUCCCCAGCGUCUAAAACAGUGUCCCAAGUAAUAGACGCUCAAUGCUUUUCGAAUGAAGCUGUAACUUUCUAACUGAACAGUGCGUAUCUAAAGAUGUCAACUACUGGUAAAUUGCAGCCAUUUAUUGAAAUGUGGGUCCUACUAGAGUUUGCAAUUUUUCAAUGAUGUUUAAAUGUUGAGAAUUACUCCAACAUUUUAAAUAAUAGAUUAAUCAAAACCAUUUUACAAACUCUAGUAUAAAGACCUGAUGCUAUAGAGAGCUCAUACACAUUCAGAAAGGUGGUUGCAUUUUAUAAAGUUCGGGGCACAAAUGAGAAGGAAUCGUGCAGAAGGGGCUGUUUUUCAUAGAACGUUGAACCUAGGGAUGUUCAAGAUAAAUUGGGAGGCCGGGCAUGGUGGCUCACGCAUGUAAUCCCAGCACUUUGGGAGGCCAAGGCGGGCAGACUGCUUGAGGCCAGGAGUUCAAGACCAGACUGGCUAACAUGGCGAAAAACCGUCUCUACUAAAAAUACAAAAAUUAGCCAGGCAUGGUGGCGCAAGCCUGUAAUGCCAACUUCUUGGGAGGCUGAGGCACGAGAAUCACUUGAGCCCAGGAGGCAGAGGUUACAGUGAGCCAAGAUCAGGCAACUGCACUCCAGCCUGGGCAACAGAGCAAGACUCUGUCUCGAAAAAAGAAAAAAAAAAAAGACUUAGAGAUUUUUUGGACAGAUAAAGACUUUUUGUCUAAGACUUAGUGUUGGAAUGGAAAACAAGGCUGACUAGGUAUAAGAGGAAACAGAUUGACAAGAAUUUUAAAGGGCAAGCUGGGAAUUUUUUAUUUUGAUUAAGGCACUCAAUAAUUAUUUAAGGAUAUUGGGUAGCAGAAUAGUAAAAAAAAAUUUUUUUUGAGAUGGAGUCUCACUCUGUUACCCAGACUGGAGUGCAGUGGCGCGAUUUGGGCUCACUGCAAGCUCCGCCUCCUGGGUUCACACCAUUCUCCUGCCUCAGGAGAAUGGCCAAAACUGGCCAUAGACAAAAUCUCUGCAGCACUGUGACAUGUUCGUGAUGGCCAUAAUGCCCACGCUGGAAGGUUGUGGGUUUACUGGAAUGAGGGCAAGGAACCCCUGGCCCUUCCAGGGUGGAAAACCACUUAAAGGCCUUCUUAUGCCACAAACAAUAGCAUGAGUGAUCUGUGCCUUAAGGACAUGCUCCUGCUGCAGUUAACUAGCCCAACCUAUUCCUUUAAUUCGGCGCAUCCCUUCGUUUCCCUUAAGGGAUACUUUUAGUUAAUUUAAUAUCUGUAGAAACAAUGCUAAUGACUGGCUUGCUGUUAAUAAAUACGUGGGUAAAUCUCUCUUCGGGGCUCUCAGCUCUGAAGGCUGUGAGACCCCUGAUUUCCCACUUCACACCUCUAUAUUUCUAUGUGUGUGUCUUUAAUUCCUCUAGCGCCGCUAGGUUAGGCU